UACGUAGGAGACUAGCGUUGUCCGGAAUUACUGGGUGUAAAGCGCGUGUAGGCGGCAUACCAAGUCUGUUGUGAAAUCGCCCGGCUCAACUGGGCGGGGUCAAUGGAAACUGGUAAGCUGGAGGACGGUAGAGGCGAGUGGAAUUCCCGGUGUAGUGGUGAAAUGCGUAGAUAUCGGGAGGAACACCUGUGGCGAAGGCGGCUCGCUGGGACGGUACUGACGCUGAGACGCGAAAGCGUGGGGAGCGAACAGG
rnacentral:rRNA from 1 species